GACGAACGCUGGCGGCGUGCUUAACACAUGCAAGUCGAACGAUGAAGCCUAGCUUGCUAGGUGGAUUAGUGGCGAACGGGUGAGUAAUACGUGAGUGACCUACCUUUGACUCUGGGAUAAGCCUGGGAAACUGGGUCUAAUACCGGAUACGACCAAUCUCUGCAUGGGGUGUUGGUGGAAAGCGUUAUGGAGUGGUUUUAGAUGGGCUCACGGCCUAUCAGCUUGUUGGUGAGGUAAUGGCUUACCAAGGCGACGACGGGUAGCCGGCCUGAGAGGGUGACCGGCCACACUGGGACUGAGACACGGCCCAGACUCCUACGGGAGGCAGCAGUGGGGAAUAUUGCACAAUGGGCGCAAGCCUGAUGCAGCGACGCCGCGUGAGGGAUGACGGCCUUCGGGUUGUAAACCUCUGUUAGCAUCGAAGAAGCGAAAGUGACGGUAGGUGCAGAGAAAGCGCCGGCUAACUACGUGCCAGCAGCCGCGGUAAUACGUAGGGCGCGAGCGUUGUCCGGAAUUAUUGGGCGUAAAGAGCUUGUAGGCGGUUGGUCGCGUCUGCUGUGAAGGCCGGGGCUUAACUCCGGUUUUGCAGUGGGUACGGGCUAACUAGAGUGCAGUAGGGGAGACUGGAAUUCCUGGUGUAGCGGUGGAGUGCACAGAUAUCAGGAGGAACACCGAUGGCGAAGGCAGGUCUCUGGGCUGUAACUGACGCUGAGAAGCGAAAGCAUGGGGAGCGAACAGGAUUAGAUACCCUGGUAGUCCAUGCCGUAAACGUUGGGCACUAGGUGUGGGGGACAUUCCACGUUUUCCGCGCCGUAGCUAACGCAUUAAGUGCCCCGCCUGGGGAGUACGGCCGCAAGGCUAAAACUCAAAGGAAUUGACGGGGGCCCGCACAAGCGGCGGAGCAUGCGGAUUAAUUCGAUGCAACGCGAAGAACCUUACCAAGGCUUGACAUGCAUUAGAUCGCGUCAGAGAUGGCGUUUCCCUUCGGGGCUGGUGUACAGGUGGUGCAUGGUUGUCGUCAGCUCGUGCCGUGAGAUGUUGGGUUAAGUCCCGCAACGAGCGCAACCCUCGUUCUAUGUUGCCAGCGGUUCGGCCGGGGACUCAUAGGAGACUGCCGGGGUUAACUCGGAGGAAGGUGGGGAUGACGUCAAAUCAUCAUGCCCCUUAUGUCUUGGGCUUCACGCAUGCUACAAUGGCCGGUACAGAGGGUUGCGAUACUGUGAGGUGGAGCUAAUCCCUUAAAGCCGGUCUCAGUUCGGAUUGGGGUCUGCAACUCGACCCCAUGAAGUCGGAGUCGCUAGUAAUCGCAGAUCAGCAACGCUGCGGUGAAUACGUUCCCGGGCCU
rnacentral:rRNA from 1 species